rnacentral:piRNA from 1 species
UAAAAAACACACAGACAUCAUGCUAAGACU